GGUGUUGGGUGGUUUAGCUGUUGCACACUGAUUGCUCAAUGUGCCACAGGUUUGCAGACUCACCUGGCCCCAGAGUCCAAUCAGACUCGGCCAGGUGAGGCUGAAUCAACCAGCUAUCAUCCACACACACUCCCACCACUCUUACUAAGCGCGCUGAACAUACCAAGGCUUGAUUUUGAUAACCUGGUGGAUCGACAGACGACCUCACAGUCAGAGUUAAAUGAUGUGGUGCCAGCAUGACCUUGAGGACAUGGGUUCAAGUUCGGAAUAAGCACAAAAGCAUAAUUCAAUGUGCUGUACCUGUUGAAGUCCUGAGCAACACCAUUGGAAGGGGGUCAACUCCACCGCCCUUCACCGUUUCGGGGAGCUGGCCCUCGCUAAUAAUGAAGGGCAGCCGAUGAUGGCCUGGGUGGAAGGGGGGUUGUCAUCUGACCCCACUGCCUUGUUCUCGGAUACUUUUGUAAUGGUUGAACGAGCAGACAUUGUAUUGAGGGAGCUGCCGACGGUGGUAAUGGUGGUAGUGCUGGUUCAAUCUCCAAGCAGAGGACAUAAACGAUGACGAGACUCUGUCGGCCUGUGAGUCCAGGGUGACUAUGGAGGUCCAGUUUUAUUUGGAGCUGCAGGUGAAACGUCUCCGAGGUCUCUGCGCUGAAGGGUUGAUGUCUUUCAUCAAAGCACAGGCUUCUUCAUCCGGGCUGUCGUACCCGAAACUGAAAGAAACAACCGUGGAAUCAUCUGAGUAUGAGUACGGCCAUCUUGGCUCUACUCACGGGCGAUUCCGAGGCCUGUGACGACCACAAGGAGGAGAACCACGAGGAGCCAAGGGAGCACGGCUCGGAUCCUGUAGGCCUUCUUCUGCCCUGAAACCUUGGCCACCUCUUAAAGAGGGAGAGUGAGAGAGGAACAGAACAACUGACCGGUUAGAGACUGCAGUCUCAAGCCCUCGCUGGUCCUGGUGGGAGCGUGGAGCAUGGAACACAAUAGACUGACUAGGUUGUAUCUGAAUAUGUCUAGCAUUACUAAUAAUACUACUACUACUAUUUACAAUAGCGCUUCUACUAUUACACUUACUACUACCAGUGCUACUAUUAUUACUACUACAAUUAUAUUGCUAUUAUCAUUGCUACUACUACUACUUAUAAAAAUAAUAAUAUUUCUAAUACUACCACUGACACAACUUUUACUACUACGAGAAUAGUACUCCUAUUACAACUACCUCUACUCAAUAAUAAUAAUAACCUGAUUAUAAAUAUCUGAUCCUUGUUACAAUUGAGAUUAUUGUGUUGUUAAAGUGCUUUACCUUUGAUAAACAAUGAAAGUCCUGCAGCAAAUAUAGAUUUUUUUUCUGUGUUUACAUUUUAGUUUUUCCUUCUGCCAGGAAAGCACGUGCUUUAUGCUUAAAAGUAAUACAUUUCUGAAGAGAAAGCUAUUAAGAGACUCAUCAUAUAUUUAUGUCUUUAAAAAUAUGCAGUGUUAACAUUUAGUACUCAAAUUGUGUUUGAGUUGUGUUAAAUACUAUAAGGCAUUGUGUUGUAAUCUCAUACCUGAGUAUUCGUUCUCCACAGCUUCCCCUUUACUGUCUCCUUCGAUCCAAGGUUUAUCAUAAACAAACAGACUUUCCGCAC
ensembl:lncRNA